CCCCACUGCUAUCGGGAUAGGACUAAGACAUGCUAGUCAAGCGCUUUCUAGCUAAUAUGAAAGUGCGGCAUACAGCUCAGUAACGCGUGGCUAACCUGCCCUUGGGACGGAGACACCCCCGGGAAACUGGGGUUAAUUUCCGAUAGGUGAAAAAUUCUGGAAUGAAUUUUCGCUCAAAAGAGGUUUAUGUUAUGCUCAUAUUCUUCGCCCAGGGAUGGGGCCGCGACCGAUCAGGUUGUUGGUGAGGUAAUGGCUCACCAAGCCUUUUACCGGUACGGGCCGUGAGAGCGGGAGCCCGGAGAUGGGCACUGAGACAAGGGCCCAGGCCCUACGGGGCGCAGCAGUCGCGAAAACUUUGCAAUACACGAAAGUGUGACAAGGCUAUCCCGAGUGCCAUCCGCUGAGGAAGGCUUUUACCCAGUCUAGAAAGCUGGGGGAAUAAGGAGAGGGCAAGUCUGGUGUCAGCCGCCGCGGUAAUACCAGCUCUCCGAGUGGUGUGGACGUUUAUUGGGCCUAAAGCAUCCGUAGCUGGCUGAACAAGUCCCCUGUUAAACCCACCGAUUUAAUCGUUGGCUUGCGGGGGAUACUGCUCGGCUAGGGGACGAGAGAGGCAGACGGUAUUCCCGGGGUAGGGGUGAAAUCCUAUAAUCCCGGGAAGACCACCAGUGGCGAAGGCUGUCUGCUAGAACGCGCCCGACGGUGAGGGAUGAAAGCUGGGGGAGCGAACCGGAUUAGAUACCCGGGUAGUCCCAGCUGUAAACGAUGCAGGCUAGGUGUUUGGACGGCCACGUGCCGUUCUAGUGCCGCAGGGAAGCCGUUAAGCCUGCCGCCUGGGGAGUACGGUCGCAAGAUUGAAACUUAAAGGAAUUGGCGGGGGAGCACCACAAGGGGUGAAGCUUGCGGUUU
rnacentral:rRNA from 1 species